rnacentral:rRNA from 1 species
GACGAACGCUGGCGGCAGGCCUAACACAUGCAAGUCGAACGCCCUAGCAAUAGGGAGUGGCAGACGGGUGAGUAACGCGUGGGAACCUUCCCUAUAGUACGGAAUAUACCAGGGAAACUUGGAGCAAUACCGUAUACGCCCGAAAGGGGAAAGAUUUAUCGCUAUAGGAUGGGCCCGCGUUGGAUUAGCUAGUUGGUGAGGUAAUGGCUCACCAAGGCGACGAUCCAUAGCUGGUCUGAGAGGAUGAUCAGCCACACUGGGACUGGGACACGGCCCAGACUCCUACGGGAGGCAGCAGUGGGGAAUAUUAGGCAAUGGGCGAAAGCCUGACCCAGCCAUGCCGCGUGAGUGACGAAGGCCUUAGGGUUGUAAAGCUCUUUUGGCGGGGACGAUAAUGACGGUACCCGCAGAAUAAGCCCCGGCUAACUUCGUGCCAGCAGCCGCGGUAAAAC